rnacentral:rRNA from 1 species
CCUACGUGAGGCAGCAGUGGGGAAUAUUGCGCAAUGGGCGAAAGCCUGACGCAGCGACGCCGCGUGAGGGAUGAAGGUCUUCGGAUCGUAAACCUCUGUCAGCAGGGAAGAACGGUCACUGUGCUAAUCAGCAGUGAAUUGACGGUACCUGCAAAGGAAGCACCGGCUAACUCCGUGCCAGCAGCCGCGGUAAUACGGAGGGUGCGAGCGUUAAUCGGAAUUACUGGGCGUAAAGCGCUCGUAGGCGGUAUGGCAAGUCAAGGGUGAAAUCCCCGCGCUCAACGUGGGAACUGCCUUUGAAACUGGCAAACUGGAGUGUGUGAGAGGAUAGUGGAAGUCCAGGGGUAGGAGUGAAAUCCGUAGAUAUCUGGAGGAACAUCAGUGGCGAAGGCGACUAUCUGGCACAUAACUGACGCUGAGGAGCGAAAGCGUGGGUAGCAAACAGGAUUAGAUACCCGGGUAGUC